UUUUUCAACUAUUGGAAGGCAGAUCUUUCCCUGGGGUUGUUCUUAGAUGCGUUCAAGUACAUCUUCCAGCCCAUUUAAAAUCCAAUUUGAAUUGCUUGAGGAAGAUGAGCAGAUAAUGGACUUCAUUACGAAUGGCUCGCAAAUUUUUUGCUUGACAUCUCUUCAUCAGCCAAUUCUGGGUUGCACGUUUUUUAUUUCUUGGCCCAUUCUAUACUGAAUGAAGUUCUUUUGUCAAUUCAAAAGGGGAA